rnacentral:misc_RNA from 1 species
AAGUCGUAACAAGGUUUCCGUAGGUGAACCUGCGGAAGGAUCAUUAACACGUAUCCAACGUUAAAACCCCCCCGUGAACCUUCAGUGUGCUCGUACGCUUUGUUAGAAAGUAGCAAUCCCUGGUAAAUCAUCGCCGAACAGUUUUGAUUCAGGGACUUCUGCGAAGAGUGUGCUUGUAGCGCGAGGCAAGUGGCCUGGCAUCCUUGUCUGAAAGUGUCAAGGGUGGCGCAGUCACGAUCGCUAGAGGCCGACACGGCCGGCGACCGGGUCACCGGGCUCACGCCCCUUUAUCACCCCACAGUUUCCGACUGAUAAUACGGACGCCGUAAAAAACUGAACAACUGUUAACAAUGGAUAUCUUGGUUCUC